ACCCCAUCUCCCUCACAACCAUCUCGCCCGAACGCCGCCCCUCACAGCCACCUCGCUCGAACGCAGCCCAGAUCGGACGCUGAACGUCCGCCGCCGCCCUCCUCAGCCCGUCAUCCAGACGCCACCGGUCCGACCCUAGCCACUCGCCGCCGAGGUUUUUGCCCUAACCGACCACCCUUUGUCGCGUUUCGCUGCCAUUGCUGCCUAGUCGAUGCCUCACUGUUCGUCGAGGCCCGAAUGCGUGCGAACCCCCCCGACGAUCAUCGCUUCCAGAUGCAUCAGCAGUCGUUCCGGCAUUUUGCUACCCGCGUUGUCGUUCAGAUCUGCUCCGCGCUGUUCCGGUUCGCCCUUCCAACCAUUGUCCGCCAGUAUAGUAGCUGCUAGCUGUCGGGUUCAUCCUCUUCUACCGCCAUUCCGUAGGAUUUUCGCCAGAAGAUUGGAAUAUGGGCUUGGAUUGAACUUUCAAGGUGUUGGGAAUCACUGCCUAGUACGAUUAGAGUUGGCUUUAGGGAAUUUUGGGUUAGGAAUAGAUUGGAAUCUCCUUACUAAGCUUGGAACAGAUUUCUAGAUCAGCACAUCGUUUGGGUAAGGGUAGAAAUGCCACCGGCGAUGGCGCAGCGAAAUUCAUGAUCGAGCCACUGGGACUAGUUUUUUUUACGCUUCCGCAUCAUGAGAUUUAGAGUUCUUUUCAUGUUUCCCUUAAUGUUUAGUUUUGAUGUUUGAAACUUAUUAUUAAGAAUUGUUUU